rnacentral:rRNA from 1 species
UACAGGGGGGGCAAGCGUUGUUCGGAAUUACUGGGCGUAAAGGGCUCGUAGGCGGCCAACUAAGUCACACGUGAAAUCCCCAGGCUUAACCUGGGAACUGCGUGUGAUACUGGAUGGCUUGAAUCCGGGAGAGGGAUGCGGAAUUCCAGGUGUAGCGGUGAAAUGCGUAGAUAUCUGGAGGAACACCGGGUGGCGAAAGGCGGCAUCCUGGACCGGUAUUGACGCUGAUGAGCGAAAGCCAGGGGAGCAAACGGG